rnacentral:lncRNA from 1 species
UAGAGCACCUCCAACGCUGCACCCAUAGUGGGUGCAAUAGAAGUGGUCCCACCUUCUAUUGCACCCACUCCAGCAACGCUUGCACCCUCUAUUGCACCCAUUUCUUUUUUUUUUGUUUUUUUUUUUUUGGUUUGAAAAGGGGCGCGUGUAAACACGCCCCUUCCUUCGCUCCCACAGCAGCCGAGUGCGACCCAUCGCCCCCCUCCCUUCGCUCCCGGGUGCAGCAACGGCGCUGGGUGCGAUAGGCCGGGUUCGAUCCGGCCUUCGCACCCAGCGCUGCGGAUGCUCUUA